GCUUUCAAGCUGCUGGUAAUAACACUGUAACACAGAGAACAACUGCUGUUCUUAAGAAUAAGAAUCAAUUUCCCACAGUAACAGCUGCACAAGCUGUCACAAUUAUUACUCCGCUUUUCUAUGGAGGUUCCUCACAAGUCAAAUGUGUCUCUUCCAAAGAUUUCAGAAAGAUCAAACAUUUUUAUAGAUUUUUAAGACUUUAAUUUAAAUGGAAGUGUCAUUAAGAUUGGAGUUUUCAACAUUUUAAUAGCUGCCAACAAUCAAUAAUGGAAAACCAAGUCAACAAGCUUCCAGUCUAAUUCUGAAACAUAAAAGGAUAUAUGCAAAAGAAAAAGAUCUGGCGGCACCUACAGGGGUCAAUCACCCCAAUUCAAACAAACUUGGAAGAGCACCUUAUAAUGAUUUUACAGACCAAGUUUCAUGAAGAUCUGUCCAGCAGUUCAUUGGAAGAAGUUGCUUAAAGAUGCAACCAUAAACAACUGAC
rnacentral:lncRNA from 1 species